rnacentral:lncRNA from 1 species
UGACUCCAUCAUCUGAGAGCAUCCGUCACAAGAGCUGUAGCACUGCCUGGGAAGAGAACGCUCUCCCGAAGCUUUUGAGAGCAGAAGCUCCCCUGCUCUCUGCUCGCCAGCCAGCUUGGCGGGUGUAGACAGCACAGUAACAGUAGCAGCACUAGAAGGCGGGUGGAGUCAUUUCCCCCUCCCUGCUCAUACCCCUACCCCUUCACUUGAACCCUCCCGCCAGGCCAAGGCAAACGCCUCCACAGAUAGGGUCUCCGCAGAUAGGUUAGGGUGGGGGGUUGGAGGAGGGUCAUCCAAGGAAAUCCUGAGAAGAGAGUCUCUUGUCUUCAGCUCCUGCCUCGAAAUGUGACCAGAAGCCCAGACUAAUAUGAGCUUUGAGCAAAAUGGUGUAUGCCACCCUCAAAAUAUGAGGAAUAGCUGAAGAAACCUGUAUUCUGCAUCUUCAUCUGCCAACCUCUGGAGACCACUGACCUAUAAACUCCAUAAACUCCGGCUUUCCCAGACUGUCCCAUGCUGGACUCAUGAGCACCUUGACACAAGUCUUUGGGCUUCACUCUGUGGGGAGCCGCACUCACAUUUGCCAUUAUAAGAUGGCGCUGACAGCUGUGUUCUAAGUAGUAAAUAAUCUGCACAUGUGCAGGGGCAGUUUUCCCGCCAUGUGCUCUGCCUUUUUUGUGAUGACAACUGGGCCAAUGGGCUGCAGCCAAUCAGGGAGCGACACGUCCUAGGCGGAGGAUAA